CAGAGGCGCUCCUGGCGCCGGCGGCGGGCUGGCUGGGACCUCCGUCUGGGCGCCCGCCAUGGCCCCGCCGGCAGAGACGCGCGUGUUCCUGGAGGUGCGGAGUCGGCUGCAGAGCGCGCUGCUGAUCCUGGGAGAGCCCAAAGAAGGAGGUAUGCCCAUGGAUAUUUCCAUAACUCCAUCCUCGCUCCAGGUGAAAACCCCUGGAGGCUGCACAGAGAUCUGCCUUCCAGCAGAGGUCAGGCUUGUGCCUUCCUCUAGCCGUGGACUGCAGUAUGUGGCUGGAGAUGGACUACACCUGCGGCUGCAGGCGUGGGUGGAAUUCAGCACACAGCUGACUUCAAUGUUUAAUCAAAGCUCAGAAGCCCAAGACUGCUGCACAUUUUAUUGCCAAUCCUGCGGUGAAGUCAUAAUAAGGGACAGGAAGCUCCUCAGGGUGCUCCCAUUGCCGACGGAGAACUGGGGAGCUCUAGUUGGAGAAUGGUGCUGCCAUCCGGACCCCUUUGCUAAUAAGCCACUUCAUCCGCGAGAGAACGACUGUUUUAUUGGAGACUCUUUCUUCUUGGUGAAUUUAAGAAGUGAUACGUGGCAGCCAAGUCCUCAAGUAGCUCCAGAGGAGACACACUGUCUUUCUUCUGAGAACCAUUUUAAAUCGAAACCAAAGGCAAAUACCAAAGUAAUUUGUAAGCGUUGCAAGGUAAUGUUGGGAGAGACCAUGUCAUCAGAAACCAUUAAGUUUUAUAUGACAGAGGUGAUUAUGCAGCCAUCUGAGAGAAAUUUUCCCAUCAUACCAAGGUCUCAGUUUGUACAGAGCACUGUCGCUCAGUGCCUAGUGGAACUCUCCUCUGCUAGAAGCACUUUUAGAUUCAGUGUUCAAGGUCAUGACGGCAAACCGUACAUCUUGCUAUGGCUUUUAAACUCAGACAGUGUGGUGAUUGAAUCUUUGGCGAGUUCCAGAAGUGUCAAAAAGUUUCCCUUGUUGGAAGACAUAUUGAAGGCAGAUUCCAGUUCUGCUCGGAAUGCUGUCAAAGUCCUUUACCAGCCAUGCAUCAAAAGUAGGAAUGAAAAGCUUGUCAGCUCCUGGGAAAGUGACAUCAGCGUCCACUCUCUGACCCUGCCCUCUGCAACCUGCUUGGAGCUGCUGUUGUUAUUAUCAAGGAAUAACGCCACGCUGCCUCCGUCCCUGCGCUGUAUGAAUUCCUUUCAGGUAAAGGACAAGCAGGACAGCAAAUAUGGACCAACCAGCAAGAAGACUCCCUCCCUGGUAAGCAGCUAAUUGUCACUGAGGUGGCAAAUGAGAAUGAAGACAUUUGUCACUGAAGUUGUGACCCAAUAGCUACUGAGUGUAAUUGAACGUAUCAAUGAGUCCUGACAAUGGAAAAAUAUUCACAAACCUUCUGAGCCUGGUGAGAAGGCCACAUGCCACGGUGGCCUUUUUGAAGAUGUAACCAUGGGAGCCGAAGCAUUCCUCUGCACAGCACGGAGCGCAUGGGAGGCCAGCAGUCAGCCCAGUGAGCAGUGAUUACAGGCAAGAGCCAGAGCACUGCAGUGGAGUCUGAGUGUUACCUGCAAAUAUUCUCUAAACUUCAAAUCUGAGAAAGACCAAGGUGGUGAAGGAAGUCACCGUAGCAGGUUGAGAUAAGUGAACAAGUUCAGUCUCUAUUGCCACAGAGAAGAAUAUUCAAAUGUGUGCUGUGUCAGACCACCGGGAAGGCUGCGAGCUAGCGGAGACCCGUCUGUCCAGAGUGGAAUGCAGAGGGACUUCGCUGCUGGAAUUGUGUUAACUGCCAUAAAUCUUUGGAAAUAAACUUUCAAAGAACUUCUCAGGUUCAUUUAAAACAAUUUUUUAAAAAGAAAAUAUCGAAUUCUGCAUACCUUAUUUAGAGGAGAUGCUUAAUAAAUAAAUGCUUGUUGAAUAAAUGAUUAUCAAAUUAAAGGUUUUCCCACUUA